GUGCAAAGCAAAGUUUUUUUGUAAACCGUCUGCAAAGGCGGGGGGGCGAAGAAGGCGCCCGAGACCGGGCCGAGUGCAGCUGCCGUGGCCGCCGCCUCUCUAGCUCCUCAGCCAUCCGCUCCUCAGUCCAGCCGCCGCAGAGGAGACCAGCAAGCAGAGCCCUCAGAUGCUCGGAGCUUUCUCGGCGCGAAGCUGCCCGUCGCCCUCUCCUGCCGCCCUCGCCCGCCGCCCUCCUGCUCCUGCUCCGGCUGCGGCUCUUGGUACCCCGGCUCCGGGAGCCCAGCUCCCCGCCACCGCCGCCGCCUGGGUGUGGGGGCUGCUGAGGCUGAGCCGGGCCUCGGCGCCGGCUC
rnacentral:lncRNA from 1 species